rnacentral:rRNA from 1 species
AGUAGUUUGAUCAUGGCUCAGAACGACGCUGGCGGCAGGCUUAACACAUGCAAGUCGAGCGCCCCGCAAGGGGAGCGGCAGACGGGUGAGUAACGCGUGGGAACGUACCUUUUGCUACGGAAUAACUCAGGGAAACUUGUGCUAAUACCGUAUGUGCCCUUCGGGGGAAAGAUUUAUCGGCAAAGGAUCGGCCCGCGUUGGAUUAGCUAGUUGGUGAGGUAAAGGCUCACCAAGGAGACGAUCCAUAGCUGGUCUGAGAGGAUGAUCAGCCACACUGGGACUGAGACACGGCCCAGACUCC